rnacentral:rRNA from 1 species
GACGAACGCUGGCGGCGUGCUUAACACAUGCAAGUCGAACGGAAAGGCCCUGCUCUUGUGGGGUGCUCGAGUGGCGAACGGGUGAGUAACACGUGAGUAACCUGCCCUUGACUUUGGGAUAACUUCAGGAAACUGGGGCUAAUACCGGAUAGGAGCUCCUGCUGCAUGUUGGGGGUUGGAAAGUUUCGGCGGUUGGGGAUGGACUCGCGGCUUAUCAGCUUGUUGGUGGGGUAGUGGCUUACCAAGGCUUUGACGGGUAGCCGGCCUGAGAGGGUGACCGGCCACAUUGGGACUGAGAUACGGCCCAGACUGCUACGGGAGGCAGCAGUGGGGAAUAUUGCACAAUGGGCGGAAGCCUGAUGCAGCAACGCCGCGUGCGGGAUGACGGCCUUCGGGUUGUAAACCGCUUUCGCCUGUGACGAAGCGUGAGUGACGGUAAUGGGUAAAGAAGCACCGGCUAACUACGUG